GAAUCUUGGACAAUGGGGGCAACCCUGAUCCAGCGACGCCGCGUGGGUGAUGAAGGCCUUCGGGUUGUAAAGCCCUUUCGCCGGGGACGAUGAUGACGGUACCCGGGGCAGAAGCCCCGGCUAACUCCGUGCCAGCAGCCGCGGUAAGACAGAGGGGGCAAGCGUUGCUCGGAAUCACUGGGCGUAAAGGGCGCGUAGGCGGGAUGGCAAGUCAGUCGUGAAAUCUCUCGGCUCAACCGAGAAACGUCGGCUGAUACUGCCGUUCUUGAGGGAUGCAGAGGAGACUGGAAUUCCCGGUGUAGCGGUGAAAUGUGUAGAGAUCGGGAGGAACACCGGUGGCGAAGGCGGGUCUCUGGGCAUUUCCUGACGCUGAGGCGCGAAAGCGUGGGGAGCAAAC
rnacentral:rRNA from 1 species